UUCUUAUCCUGAGAGGUGGAGGGACUGGCCCUUUGAAGCCUCGGCAACGGGUCUGGAUAUGUAUAUCAGAUACUGUGCCAAUUCCAGCAAGUGAAUUCACUUGGAAGAUAAGAA
rnacentral:ncRNA from 2 species